AGUCCUGCGGGCGGGCGCGCGCCCCUCUGUGGCCGGAGCGGCCUCGCCCAAAAUGGCGGCGCCGGCCUGAGGGGCGCUCGGCUCCCUCACGGGGCAGGCCCUCGGUGCUGUGUUCUGGCACAGGGGCGGCGUGAGCCGUCGAGGGGAGUAACAACAACGAUUUCUAAGGAAGUUACAACAGAGACUGAAACAGUUCAACAAAUGGCAAACGCGUAGUCAAGCCCCAGUAAAUGCUUAUAUAUAAACAUGACGUAGUAGAUUAUUUCUAUUAAAUUAAAUUAUCAGGAGAUAUUAUAUGCUUAUUAUCCCAUAGCAACGCGGUUUGGGACCAGGCCCAAAAGUGACACAAGAUGGCGCCCAGAACCACAGGCAGAGCCAACCUGAGCAACACCCUGACUCCCAGGUGGUGAGGUCCAAGUUGAUCUAAAAGUGAAUAAAGUUCCUGUGUGGCUGACAGACCUUCCACUCAAGCAUGGCUGUAUUGCAUUUUCUUAUAUUGAGGUUAGAGUUAAUGAUG